UUCAAAAUAUUUUUAUUAUCUUACAAUACACGUAGGUUAUUCAGGAAUAUUACAACGAAUAUUACAAGAAUUACAACGGCUGCCCCACCCUUCAAGCCGAAACGCAUUACUGCUUCACGGCAGAAAUAGGCGCGAUGGUGGUACCUACCCGUGCGGACUCAUAUGAGGUCCUACCACCAGUAAUUACGCAAAUUAUAAUUUUGCGGGUUUGAUUUUUAUAACACGAUGUUAUUCCUUCACCGUGCAUGUAACGUAUGUAAUGUAACGCCAGAAAAAAUAAUUUAAUUUUUUUUGUAAAUUAACUCCAUCUAGCGUUUGUACGUGGCGCAGUGUGGAGAAAUCAAUAAUUAUUUUAAUACACAAAUUAGUUCGCUCACCCGACACUGCAUGUCGCAGCUGUGCGAUUUUGUAUGUUGUUCGACGACAGAUUUGCACAUCACUGGCAUGCAGAAUCUUCGAGAAACGACACAUUAAUAAUAUAAAAGGACAAGUUAACUUUGUCCAAGUCUCUUUCGUGUAACAUCUCUUGAGCUGCGAGGUGAUUAUAUUCUUUGAUUUACCAAAUUCAGUUACAUUAAUCCUUGGUGUCGUGUAAUAAACCAGGUCUGUUCUAGCUCCUCCCACGUCAUGCCCAAGACCCCUAGCUCCUGCUCCACCGAGCGACGCCAAGUUGUUCUGGGGCGGCCUCUCUUCCUCUUGCCAGACACUUUCCAGGAGAAAAUCGCGGGAUACCCACCCGCACGGCGGUAUGUUAGAGUUGAACCUCACUAAAAACUUCUGCCGCUCACAGCCGGCGCCCUACCCCGGACCGGGUGGACCACGAAGAGCCCACCGGCUGUCUAACACGAGGACGAGGUACCUCAACUGCACCCCGACCCCUAUCCGGACGCCUCCAACCACGAUGUGGGCGUAGAAAGGUGGCGUUCUUCGCGGCCCGUGAGACCACAAGGCCUCGGAUUUACUGAGCGCCACGUCGAGGCCCAGUCAAAAGUUCCUGUAGAGUUAAAACGGUUUCACGUGCUGUAUGAGUUCUCGCGUUAUCAUGGAGCAAUAAUGGUGAAGAUCGAUUCAUGAGUCGAGGCUGUUUCACUGCAAGUUUUGCUAUCAUUGUACGGAGUUCGGCACAGUAGACAUCUGCCGUUAUUGCUUGACCAGAUCGGAGAAAGCUAUAGUGAAAAACACCAUGCUGAGACCACCAAGUUACCGUUACCUUUUUAUUGGUAAGAUUUGCUUUAGGACACUGUUGCGGUGUUUGACCUGGGGUCGACCAUUGCAUUUUGCGCUUACGGUUAUCGUAAAGAACCCACUUUUCAUCACAUGUUCCAAUAUUCCUUCAUUUCUAUAUCGAUUCAACAAGGCAACGCGUGUUUAUCAACACGCGUUUCUUUCUGCAGAUCAGUCAAAUCAUGAGGCAUCCAUUUGUCAUAUUUUUAUUUUAUUGGUCUGACGUAAAUGAGUCAAUAUUAUUGGAAAGGUAACGUUAAGCCAUGCCGCUAAUUCCUGGGUAGUUUGGCUCGGAUCGUCUUCCACCAUCUCUUUUAAUUCAUUGUUAUUAACAUGUGUGGGUGGUCUUCCACGUGGUUAAUUCUUCAAAUCAAAAUUUCCAUCACGAAAGCGUUUAAACCAAAAUCGCACGGUGCGUUCAACUCCUCCCCUCUCCAAACGAAUUACCAUUUGAAAAAGUUUCACUCAAAAAUCUCAAACCAUGAAGAUUCUUUGUCAAUUCGAAGUACCUAUUACAAUAAAACGGCAAUUUCAUACUAUAACCCCUAUUAUUAUUAUUUUAUUAUUUUUAUUGCCCUUUUAGGCAGACGAGCAUACGGCCCACCUGAUGGUAAGUGGCUACCGUCGCCCAUGGACUUCAGCAAUGCCAGGAGCAGAGCCAAGCCGCUGCCUAUUAUAAGUCGGAAUCAGUUGAUACAGUCACUCUCUUGGUCUGGACAUUCAUCAACGGGUACGCAUUUUCCAGAUUUGUCGAACAAGAAGCCAUCAUCACAGUGGCAUGUUGGGAGCAAUGCCGCUACGCAGCUGGUGUGUGUCAGGUCUGGAUCUUCACAGGUCGGCGCGCAGGGGUUCAUUGUCAAAUGAGAAUUCUCAGGACAAUCUGUAAAAUACGAGAUAAGAGAGAUGCAGUCAAUCUACAUGGCCUCGCACAAGCUCACAACGUGAACACACCUUGGGACAUAAGCUCGAACCUUAGUGGUGGUAGGACCUCUUGAGAGUCCGCGCGGACCAUACCUAAGCGGCAGUGUGACGUAAUCGAUGCGAGGUGCAAACUUAGCUUGGUCGAGCUGUACUUGUUAUCGCAAGUGCGGGUGAGAAGUGCAGAAGAGCACACGGCCCACCUGAUGGUGAGCGGUUACUGUCGCCCAUGGGCUUCAGCAAUGCCAGCGGCAGAGCCAAGCCGCUGCCUACCGCUUAAUACUAUACCACAAGCCUCGUUUGAAGAAGGACAUGUCAUAGCGCUCGGGAAACACCGUGGAAGGGAGCUCAUUCCAUAGCCGGAUGGUACGUGGCCAAAAAUACCUCUGGAAACGCACUGUGGACGACCGCAGUGGCUCCAGGUAGUAUGGAUGAACUCUACUCCGGUGGCGGGCGGUGCGACGGUAAAAACGAGAUAACGGUAUCAAUAAAUAAAUUGAAAAUAAGUGAAAAUAAUUACUCACCUUUUUCAACCGAACCCUGGCUGGCUGCGAGAGCCAUCAGGGAUACGAGCAGGAGCAUGGGGAAGUUAUGUUUGGCGGCCAUCUUGACGAUAUUCUGCGAAUAAGUUCGGUAAUAAUACGCGGUGCCUUUAUAUAUUAUUUUGUACGCACGCGCUGCUGUGUUUGUGUAGUGUUUAGUGAUGUUCGAUGUGUAAAUGAUACGUAUAAAUAAUAUUAAUGUUUGCACUAGAUUAAUUAAAUUUUAUACUAAUUUAAAAGAGGUAAAUUUUGUUGUAUUCGGAAAUAUUUCCAUGCAGAGAUACAAAGAUAUUGCUUCUUCGACCUCAUAUCUCGGGGUAGGUGGCGUAAUCAGGAUGUCUGUGUGCUCUAGUAUCUACUAUAUACUAAUGACUGUGGUUGACCCAUUUAGAGCAUUUCAUAAUAAUCAUUUAAAUAAAAAAACACAGGUAAGUCAUGUUUUAAGCCAUCGUCAAAGCGACGUGUGCCCUUGUUUUAUUCGUGCUUAAUUAAAAAAAACAUUACCGUGACAUACAAAAUAACAUAGUUAAAACAAAAACACUUGAAUAAUCAAACUGGAACGAGGCUGAACUAAUAUGAAAUUUUACACGAGCAGUGAAUUAAUUGUUGUUGGAUUCAAUAUUAAAAUCAUUAAUUUAAAAGCAAAAAUAUAAAAUGGUUUUUUCAUUUCGAACCGAAUCGAAGAUAUUGAAGUAAGAUAGUUGCACAAGUGUUAAAAGUUCCCGCUUUGUUUGAUGUUUUUUUCCUACCGAAGCUGAGAGCCUUGAGAGGCUAUUUCAGCGUAACCUUAACUAGUAGGUGAGCUCACGGGACUCAAACCUGACGACGUUGCUAACACGAACCCUAGCAAGAGUCGUGCUUUGCAGAAUCUACCACCGGAUCGGAAACGCGACCCACUGAGAAGAUCCGGCGAGAAACUCAGUGGGCUGUGUCUGUGGGUUACUUUACUCGUCGAGCCCUUCGUCGCAAGCGACGUGUUCGACGAGAACGAUGACCGGUGCUUGAGGUACCUAAAAGCACUGUUAGUGGAUCGGGAGGAUCCGGAAUGACGUGUUUGGGGCCACGUCGACUGCUUUUCAUUCUUUCCGCAGGAUCGGGAAUGUAGUUACCGGCGGCCACGAUGAGAGGGUUCUCGUGUCGUGCCGCUUUAUCGAAGUGGCGCAUCGACGCCGACUGUAAAUACUUACUGAUUGACUACUACUAAGUCCUACUACGACUAAGACUACUAAGUCCAGGUCGUCAUGGAGGUCGACGUUCCUGACGAACCACGGGGCUCCGACGACUAUCCUGCAAAAACGGGAUUGAAUAAUUUGAAUGAUUUUAAGUGAGUGAGGGCCGCGUGAGCGAACACUACACUUGCAUAGGUCAUGACGGGGCGUAUGCAAGUUUUGUAGAGUGUCACCUUAUUUCUAAGGGACAUUUUACUUCGCCUGCAUAUCAUCGGGUAGAGACGUCCUAGUAUGAAGGCGGCACGGUCGCGUACCGUCUUUAUAUAGGGGCGGAAUGUCAUCCUUCUGUCGAGGGUGACGCCUAAGUAAUUGACCUUCGGGCCCACGGUAUGGGCUGGUCAUACAUCAUGAUUGGGCGAAUGGCGGAGGCGAAGGUGUUGACGCGCCUAGUCGGGAGAGGGAUGCUCAGCGUGGCGUUCGGAGGGCGACCCCUUUUGAAGAGCACCGCUGUGCUUUUCGUGGGGUUGAUGUCGAUGCGCCACUUCCGGAACCACUGCCCCAUGGUGGUAGCUGCGGUCUGAAGUCGCCGAUGUAACAACGACUUCUUCCUACACGAGUAGUAAAUAGCCGUGUCAUCGGCAAAGAGCGCCAGAUGGGUCUCCGGAGACCGGAGUAUAUCAUUGAUAUACAAACUGAACAGUAACGGGGAGAGGGCGGAGCCUUGCGGGACUCUGACUGUGACGUGACGGGGGCGGGAGCGCGUUCCCUCGACUCGAUAUCGGAACGAACGGAUCGACAAGUAGUCUCCUAUGAUGAACACGAGUCUGUCUGGCACUCCCAUUUUAUACAGUUUGUAUAUCAAACCGUUGUGCCAGACUUUAUCGAACGCCAUCGCUAUAUCGAAGAAGAGGGCUCCUGUCGGGAUGGUGUUCGAUAUAGUAAGUAAUUAGCGUCCUAUUUAUCAUCAUCAUUUCGUGUGCAGUUGGAACAGUGCCCCUAGCGACAAACGUAUGCAAACGAUCCCAUUCCAUACAAAUAUGAGUUAACUUUUACGCUAUCGAGAACGUUAGAAAACUGGCACUAAGCACACAGUUGAGGAGUAAAGGCAAAGCCGCCAUCAAUGGGCUCCAGUAACCACUUAACACCAGUUGGGCUGUGAGCACGUCCACCCAUCAAAAAAGACAAUAAAAAAAAUGAAAAAAAUAAGAUACUUUACGUGGUAGGACGUCUUAUGAGUCCACAUGGGUAGCCCUAUUUCUGCCGUGGAGCAGUAACGCAUUUCGGCAUAAGGAGCGGGGCAGUCGUUGUACUGUAAAAACUUAGACUUUAGAACUCAUAUUAUUUUUUUUAUUGCUUAGAUGGAUUGACGAGCUCACAGGCCACCUGGUGUUAAGUGGUUACUGGAGCCCAUAGACAUCUACAACGUAGAUGCGCCACCCUCCUCGAGAUAUAAGUUCUAAGAUCUCAGUAUAGUUACAACGGCUACCCCACCCUUCGAACCGAAACGCAUUACUGCUUCACGGCGGAAAUAGGCGGGGUGGUGGUACCUACCCGUGCGGACUCCCAAGAGGUCCUACCACCUGUAAAUCCCAAGAUAGGUGGCGGCAUUUACGUUGUAGAUGUCUAUGGGCUCCGGUAACCACUUAACAUCAGGUGGGCCGUGAGCUCGUCCACCCCCAUAAGCAAUAAAAAAUAAAUAAAAAUUGUUCAUCGAUACUUCAUUAUCCGACCAAGUACCGCCCAACGGUUUAUCGUAAUCCAUUUCAUUUUGUUGAAUAAUAAAUUUUGACACGAAAAUACAGGCGUGUUUAAGUCGUAAAAUGGGGUUUUAACUAAAUUUAAUAUACACGACACACAGAAAUCAUUGGUUACGUUGGCAUGUGUUUUGGUCAAAUACAGUAUACGUUUUGUUUUAUUUAUUUAUUUAUUAGGUGGCUGGACGAGCUCACAGCCCACCUGGUGUUAAGUACGUCAUACACGUCAUCUCGGAUCCUCCCGAUCCACUAACGGUGCUUUUAGGUACUUCAAGCACCGGUCACCGUUCUCGUCGAACCCGUCGCUUGCGACGAAGGGCUCGACGAGCAAAUUAACUCUCAGACACAGCCCACUGAGUUUCUCGCCGGAUCUUCUCAGUGGGUCGCGUUUCCGAUCCGGUGGUAGAUUCUGCGAAGCACGACUCUUGCUAGGGUUCGUGUUAGCAUCGUAGUCAGGUUUGAGCCCCGUGAGCUCACCUACAAACGUUAGGGCGAAGCUGAAAUAGUCUCUCAAGGCAAUAAGCACAGGUUAAAAAAAAAAAAAAGGUGUUAAGUGGUUACCAUCAUACAUCUAAAACGUAAAUGCGCCACCCACCCUGAGAUAUAAGUUCUAAGGUCUCAGUAUAGUUACAACGGCUACCCCACCCUUCAAACCGAAAUUACCACAAGUAAAAUACCUUCUUUAUUUUUUCCAUUGAGUGGUGAAACAAAUCUUGUCGAUACGUCAAUUUGGGUGUUAAGACAAAAUAUCUAUAUAUUGUUACGUGAAGCAAAAACUUUGUACCCCUUUUUACGAAAAUGGCGCUUACGGAGGAGUAUGAAAUACUAGAGAAUAUAGAGAAGCAGUGCACAAUGCUAUUUUUUUUUUAAAUAAUGCAUAAAAGAUACAUUAAAUCAAUAAAGAAAAUAUUACAUACACUACCAUGUAUUUGACACACACACGCAUACAUACCAUUUGUUUAUUGUCAAACUUUUCCUAUUGCUUAUAGUCUGUGGUCAAAUUGAGAAUAGAUUAAAUAUUGUUUGUAAAAUGUCUAAAGUGUAGUCUUAGCGACAUCUGUGAAGAAAUAGAAUUCUUUGAAGUAGAAGUCUUGACAAUAGAAUCAUAAUAGUGUAUAUUAUACAAACUUAUCAUCUCAAUUAAUUAUAGUCUAAUUACGACUACCAGGAGACCACUAGUUAAUAAAUAUAUAAUUCGUUUAUUCAUAUUAAGUAUGUAAUUGCCGAUUUGUGCUGAAAAAUUGAAAUUGUUUUUUUUUUUCAUUUAACACAUUUAUUUUAUCAAUGUAUCUACCACUAUUAUGUGUACAUUGCUGCCAUCUAAUAGGAAUACUUUAAACUAUAUAAUAUUGUAUUAUAAUACUUCAAAAACAAACAAUUUAAUAAUAUAAAAAAAACCAAAAGUUAUAAAAA